CCUACGGGUGGCAGCAGUGAGGAAUAUUGGUCAAUGGUCGGAAGCCUGAACCAGCCAAGUAGCGUGCAGGAUGACGGUCCUGCGUGUUGUAAACUGCUUUUAUCCGGGAAUAACGCCCCUUACGUGUCCGCCUUUGCGUGUACCUUAUGAAUAAGCACCGGCUAAAUCCGUGCCAGCAGCCGCGGUAAUCCGGAAGGUCCGGGCGUUAUCCGGAUUUAUUGGGUUUAAAGGGAGCGUAGGCCGCCUGUCAAGCGUGCUGUGAAAUGUCCGGGCUCAACCCGGGCCUUGCAGCGCGACCUGGCGGGCUGGAGUUCGAGGAAAGCAGGCGGAAUGCGGCGUGUAGCGGUGAAAUGCUUAGAUAUGACGAAGAACCCCGAGUGCGAAGGCAGCAUGCGGGAGCGGAACUGACGCUGAGGCUCGAAAGCGCGGGUAUCGAACAGGAUUAGAUACCCUAGUAGUC
rnacentral:rRNA from 1 species